rnacentral:misc_RNA from 1 species
AAAGUCGUAACAAGGUUUCCGUAGGUGAACCUGCGGAAGGAUCAUUAAAGUUAUAGUCCCCCGGCCUCCCGGCCGGGGUCUUCUAUACCACCCUUUGUUUAUUACACCUUUGUUGCUUUGGCAGGCCUGCCUCCGGGCUGCCGGCUCCGGCCGGCGAGCGUCUGCCAGAGGACCUAAACUCUGUUUGUCUAUACUGUCUGAGUACUAUAUAAUAGUUAAAACUUUCAACAACGGAUCUCUUGGUUCUG